ACCGUUAGCUCAAUUGGUAGAGCACCAGACAAGCAAUCUGGAAGUAGCAAGUUCGAAUCUUGCACGGUUCA
rnacentral:tRNA from 1 species